GGUCUGGUGGUCUAGUGGUAUGAUUCUCGCUUAGGGUACACCCUACAGCACUUGCAUGCGAGAGGUCCCGGGUUCAAUCCCCGGCCAGACCC